rnacentral:lncRNA from 1 species
CUGCGAACGCGACUGCACCAUCCUUCUUGCUCGGCUCCGGAAGGCGCCCCGGAAGCCAUAGAGGUGCUGGUCCUGGCCGGAUACAGCGCGCAGAAAAAGGACGAGCUGAGCCUGGCGCACGGGGACGUGGUCCGGCAGGUGUGCAAUGGGCCCGCACGGGGCUGGCUGCGUGGAGAGCUGGGGGGCCGUUGUGGCCUCUUCCCCGAGUGCCUGGUGCAGGAGAUCCCUGAGACUCUCCGCGGCUCGGGGGAGGCGCCGAGACCGCGCUGUGCGCGCCGCCGAGGUGAGAGCCAGGGCGGUGGGCGAGCGCGCGCAGCUCCCCCCCACCCCCACCCCAGGUCUUCCCAGCUCGCCGAGACGGGCGCGGCUCUGGGCGGGACUGCGUGGCCUCUGUGCGUCCCGUGAUUGGUUCUCGAGUACAAUGCUCCGCCCUGGGGCGGGGCCUGGAGGUACAAGGGGGCGCUCGCGGCCCGCCCCUGCCCCCCUCAGAGGACUGGGGCUCGAGGCUCCAGAGACCUCCCUCUCGUCAGACCCCAGGUCACCCAGGUCGAAUCUCCGGGCCACCGAAGAUAGUGCAAAGUGA